rnacentral:rRNA from 1 species
UACGAAGGGGGCUAGCGUUGCUCGGAAUCACUGGGCGUAAAGGGUGCGUAGGCGGGUCUUUUAAGUCAGGGGUGAAAUCCUGGAGCUCAACUCCAGAACUGCCUUUGAUACUGAAGAUCUUGAGUUCGGGAGAGGUGAGUGGAACUGCGAGUGUAGAGGUGAAAUUCGUAGAUAUUCGCAAGAACACCAGUGGCGAAGGCGGCUCACUGGCCCGAUACUGACGGCUGAGGCACGAAAGCGUGGGGAGCAAACAGGG